GACGAACGCUGGCGGCGUGCUUAACACAUGCAAGUCGAACGGAAAGGCCCUGCUUUUGUGGGGUGCUCGAGUGGCGAACGGGUGAGUAACACGUGAGUAACCUGCCCUUGACUUUGGGAUAACUUCAGGAAACUGGGGCUAAUACCGGAUAGGAGCUCCUGCUGCAUGGUGGGGGUUGGAAAGGUUCGGCGGUUGGGGAUGGGCUCGCGGCUUAUCAGCUUGUUGGUGGGGUAGUGGCUUACCAAGGCUUUGACGGGUAGCCGGCCUGAGAGGGUGACCGGACCCCUUGGGACUGAGAUACGGCCCAGACUCCUACGGGAGGCAGCAGUGGGGAAUAUUGCACAAUGGGCGGAAGCCUGAUGCAGCAACGCCGCGUGCGGGAUGACGGCCUUCGGGUUGUAAACCGCUUUCGCCUGUGACGAAGCGUGAGUGACGGUAAUGGGUAAAGAAGCACCGGCUAACUACGUG
rnacentral:rRNA from 1 species